rnacentral:rRNA from 1 species
GAUGAACGCUGGCGGCGUGCCUAACACAUGCAAGUCGAACGUGAGAGGGUAGCAAUAUCCUUGAAAGUGGCGCACGGGUGAGUAAGACGUAGGUGACCUGCCCUGGAGUGGGGGAUAACAGCUGGAAACGGCUGCUAAGACCGCAUGAAGCUAUUUUGCUGGGAAGCGAGAUAGUGAAAACUCUGGUGCUUCAGGAGGGGCCUGCGGCCGAUUAGCUAGUUGGCGGGGUAAGAGCCCACCAAGGCGACGAUCGGUAGCUGGUCUGAGAGGACGAUCAGCCACUCGGGAACUGAGACACGGUCCCGACUCCUACGGGGGGCAGCAGUGAGGAAUAUUGGGCAAUGGGCGCAAGCCUGACCCAGCAACGCCGCGUGGAGGAAGACGGCCUUCGGGUUGUAAACUCCUUUUACGGGGGAAGAGGAAGGACGGUACCCCGCGAAUAAGUCACGGCUAACUACGUGCCAGCCGCCGCAGUAAUAC